GAUGAACGCUGGCGGCGUGCCUAAUACAUGCAAGUCGAGCGAGCGGACGAGAAGCUUGCUUCUCUGAUGUUAGCGGCGGACGGGUGAGUAACACGUGGAUAACCUACCUAUAAGACUGGGAUAACUUCGGGAAACCGGAGCUAAUACCGGAUAAUAUUUUGAACCGCAUGGUUCAAAAGUGAAAGACGGUCUUGCUGUCACUUAUAGAUGGAUCCGCGCUGCAUUAGCUAGUUGGUAAGGUAACGGCUUACCAAGGCAACGAUGCAUAGCAGACCUGAGAGGGUGAUCGGCCACACUGGAACUGAGACACGGUCCAGACUCCUACGGGAGGCAGCAGUAGGGAAUCUUCCGCAAUGGGCGAAAGCCUGACGGAGCAACGCCGCGUGAGUGAUGAAGGUCUUCGGAUCGUAAAACUCUGUUAUUAGGGAAGAACAUAUGUGUAAGUAACUGUGCACAUCUUGACGGUACCUAAUCAGAAAGCCACGGCUAACUACGUG
rnacentral:rRNA from 1 species